GAUGAACGCUGGCGGCGUGCCUAACACAUGCAAGUCGAACGGUGAAGGCGGAGCUUGCUCUGCUGGAUCAGUGGCGAACGGGUGAGUAACACGUGAGCAAUCUGCCCCUGACUCUGGGAUAAGCGCUGGAAACGGCGUCUAAUACUGGAUACGAGCUGCGAAGGCAUCUUCAGCAGCUGGAAAGAACUUCGGUCAGGGAUGAGCUCGCGGCCUAUCAGCUUGUUGGUGAGGUAACGGCUCACCAAGGCGUCGACGGGUAGCCGGCCUGAGAGGGUGACCGGCCACACUGGGACUGAGACACGGCCCAGACUCCUACGGGAGGCAGCAGUGGGGAAUAUUGCACAAUGGGCGAAAGCCUGAUGCAGCAACGCCGCGUGAGGGACGACGGCCUUCGGGUUGUAAACCUCUUUUAGCAGGGAAGAAGCGAAAGUGACGGUACCUGCAGAAAAAGCGCCGGCUAACUACGUG
rnacentral:rRNA from 1 species